rnacentral:rRNA from 1 species
AGUGAACGCUGGCGGUAGGCCUAACACAUGCAAGUCGAACGGCAGCACAGUAAGAGCUUGCUCUUACGGGUGGCGAGUGGCGGACGGGUGAGGAAUACAUCGGAAUCUACUUUUUCGUGGGGGAUAACGUGGGGAAACUUACGCUAAUACCGCAUACGACCUACGGGUGAAAGCAGGGGAUCUUCGGACCUUGCGCGAUUGAAUGAGCCGAUGUCGGAUUAGCUAGUUGGCGGGGUAAAGGCCCACCAAGGCGACGAUCCGCAGCUGGUCUGAGAGGAUGAUCAGCCACACUGGAACUGAGACACGGUCCAGACUCCUACGGGAGGCAGCAGUGGGGAAUAUUGGACAAUGGGCGCAAGCCUGAUCCAGCCAUACCGCGUGGGUGAAGAAGGCCUUCGGGUUGUAAAGCCCUUUUGUUGGGAAAGAAAAGCAGCAGGUUAAUACCCCGCUGUUCUGACGGUACCCAAAGAAUAAGCACCGGCUAACUUCGUG